GACAGAGGCCUCGAGCGUUAGGCGGAAUCACUGGGCUUAAAGCGUGUGUAGGCGGGCCCGUAAGUGUCUUGUGAAAUCCCACGGCUCAACCGUGGAACUGCUGGGCAUACUGCGAGUCUUGGGCCAACUAGGGGCAGCCGGAACAAGCGGUGGAGCGGUGAAAUGCGUAGAUAUCGCUUGGAACGCCGAAGGUGAAAACAGGCUGCUGGGGUUGCGCCGACGCUGAGACACGAAAGCCAGGGGAGCAAACGGG
rnacentral:rRNA from 1 species